AGUAAGAGAUCAGAGUAAUUAUUCAGAAAAAUUAGAAAAUAACACACAAGUAACAACUACAGUAGAGACACCCCAAGAAUAUGGAAAUGAAGUUCUUUGGAAAAUAUUACAAGCUACUUUUAAAGUAUUAAAUGAUACACACCCAAAUUUAACUAGAGAAUGUUGGUUAUGUUAUAACAUUAACCCACCCUUUUAUGAGGCCAUAGGUUCCACAGCAGAACCAAAAAGAGUAAAUGGCACUAAUCCUGCUGCCUGUUUAUGGAAAUCGGGAAGAGAAAACACUCCAGGAAUAACAUUAUCUAGAGUCACUGGAAAAGGGAAUAGUGAAGAAAGGUUACAGGAAGAUAAGGAAAAGACCGAACGAGCAGACCCAUAGACCGAUGAAGGAGCAUGCGUAGAAAGACCCGAGGAAGGACACGUCAUCGGGGAAGCCCGGAGAGCCGGACUGAUUAAAAGGAGACACACGAAAAACGGAGGCACGGCCGCGGAAAAGCGGGAUCGCUUUCCGGCUGUCCAGCGCUGUAUUUUGCUUAUUGCUUGCUUGCUAUAAUUAAUAAAAUUUCCCUUUAUUAACUUUAAA